AUUGAACGCUGGCGGCAGGCCUAACACAUGCAAGUCGAGCGGAUGAAGGGAGCUUGCUCCUGGAUUCAGCGGCGGACGGGUGAGUAAUGCCUAGGAAUCUGCCUGGUAGUGGGGGAUAACGUCCGGAAACGGGCGCUAAUACCGCAUACUUCCUGAGGGAGAAAGUGGGGGAUCUUCGGACCUCACGCUAUCAGAUGAGCCUAGGUCGGAUUAGCUAGUUGGUGGGGUAAAGGCCUACCAAGGCGACGAUCCGUAACUGGUCUGAGAGGAUGAUCAGUCACACUGGAACUGAGACACGGUCCAGACUCCUACGGGAGGCAGCAGUGGGGAAUAUUGGACAAUGGGCGAAAGCUUGAUCCAGCCAUGCCGCGUGUGUGAAGAAGGUCUUCGGAUUGUAAAGCACUUUAAGUUGGGAGGAAGGGCAGUAAGUUAAUACCUUGCUGUUUUGACGUUACCAACGGAAUAAGCACCGGCUAACUUCGUG
rnacentral:rRNA from 1 species